rnacentral:misc_RNA from 1 species
GAUGAAGAACGCAGCGAAAUGCGAUACGUAAUGUGAAUUGCAGAAUUCAGUGAAUCAUCGAGUCUUUGAACGCACAUUGCGCCCCCUGGUAUUCCGGGGGGCAUGCCUGUCCGAGCGUCAUUGCUGCCCUCAAGCACGGCUUGUGUGUUGGGCCUCCGUCCUCCUCCCGGGGGACGGGCCCGAAAGGCAGCGGCGGCACCGCGUCCGGUCCUCGAGCGUAUGGGGCUUCGUCACCCGCUCUUGUAGGCCCGGCCGGCGCUUGCCGACACAUCAAUCUUUUUUCCAGGUUGACCUCGGAUCAGGUAGGGAUACCCGCUGAACUUAAGCAUAUCAAUAAGAGGAGGA